GCUCCAGGUAAAUCCUGGUCCUUCUUGGUGGCUGUAUGAUCUUAACAACAAAACCAAGCCUUUGUGCACAUCUGUGGUUGUGACCAGUUGGAGAGACAUUAGGAGAUGAGAUACUAUGUUCACUCCUCACAGCUGUACCAGGGACCUGAGAUAUUCCGUCACUAUUCUAUGAGAUUUUGGAGAUCCCACCAGUGGUUUUCCGGUGCCAGGGUAUGAGAAGAUAGUCUCCAUGUCCAAACUCACAAUUUCAGAACAAAUUUCAUCAAGAUAAAGAUGGUCUGGCUUGAUGAUAUCCAACCUGACGUGGCCUGAAGAGACAGACAGUGGCUCUUGCUAGCUAAUUAUUGUCAGAUGGAUCGGCAGCCGACCAACGCUUCUGAAACUAUUGUUUUUGGCAAAUGUUCCUCAACAUUUUCCUGGGAGCUAUGGUGCAUUACUCACGAGUGACAGAACCAACGAGCUUCAUCUCCCAAGAGGCUGGUGCAUCUGUUUAAAGGAGCAGGCACUAGGCAGAGCAGCCCCCACCCCACCCUCCAUGGCAGAGUGCAGUGGGGGAAGGGAUGGGAUUUCACCAUGUUGUCCAAGCUGGUUUUGAACUCCUGGGGUCAAGAAAUCCACCUGCUUCGGCCUCCCACAGUGCUGGGAUUACAGAUGGGGAAACUGAGGCACAGAGAGGUUAGAGAUAUGCCUGAAGCCACACAGCUUGCAAGUGGUGGAUCUGGGAUUUGAACUUGUCGAUCUGGCUGCAGAGCUGAGCUCUUGGAGACUAGGUUUUACUGCCUAGUAGCAUGUAAGCCUGGAACUGCCGGCAGUCAUUUUGUAAGUUUGCCGAGUGAACCUCAAUGAGCAUGAAGCAGAGAGGAAAGCAGUACUAAGAGAUGCAAAAGAGUCUGUGUUCCAGCAAUGGGAUCUGAAGUCCUGGAUCAAACCUUACCUGGAGACAAGAUUUACCCAUCAGACAUGCCAGUUAUAAGACCCAAAUUUACCCUUUUUGGGGGAUUGAGUUUGAAUGAGUAUUUUUGUUUGUUUGUUUUGGCAUCAGAAAGACUCCUGAUUAAUACACAGUGUGACGCUGACCAAGAUGCUUCCUUUCUCUAGGACUCAAUUUUCUUAUCUGUAAAGUAAAGGGUUCAUCAACAUUC
rnacentral:lncRNA from 1 species